AUGCCUUCAACUUAUGAGUAAGGAAAAUAACGAUUUGGGGUGAUGCCCAAAUCCUCACUGCUAAAGUAAGAUAAAUUUUUGCGAGGGUAAAGGUUGUUUUCGGAGUGACCCGCCUACUUUGCAGGCUGCCCAAGUGGACCAAUCUGCCUG